rnacentral:rRNA from 1 species
AGUGAACGCUGGCGGUAGGCCUAACACAUGCAAGUCGAACGGCAGCACAGUAAGAGCUUGCUCUUACGGGUGGCGAGUGGCGGACGGGUGAGGAAUACAUCGGAAUCUACUUUUUCGUGGGGGAUAACGUAGGGAAACUUACGCUAAUACCGCAUACGACCUACGGGUGAAAGCAGGUGUUCUUCGGACCUUGCGCGAUUGAAUGAGCCGAUGUCGGAUUAGCUAGUUGGCGGGGUAAAGGCCCACCAAGGCGACGAUCCGUAGCUGGUCUGAGAGGAUGAUCAGCCACACUGUAACUGAGACACGGUCCAGACUCCUACGGGAGGCAGCGGUGGGGAAUAUUGGACAAUGGGCGCAAGCCUAAUCCAGCCAUACCGCGUGGGUGAAGAAGGCCUUCGGGUUGUAAAGCCCUUUUGUUGAGAAAGAAAAGCAGCAGGUUAAUACCCCGCUGUUCUGACGGUACCCAAAGAAUAAGCACCGGCUAACUUCGUG